GAGUUUGAUCCUGGCUCAGAACGAACGCUGGCGGCAGGCCUAACACAUGCAAGUCGAGCGAGACCUUCGGGUCUAGCGGCGGACGGGUUAGUAACGCGUGGGAACGUACCCUUUUCUGCAGGAUAGCCACUGGAAACGGUGAGUAAUACUGCAUACGCCCUUCGGGGGAAAGAUUUAUCGGAGAAGGAUCGGCCCGCGUUAGAUUAGAUAGUUGGUGGGGUAACGGCCUACCAAGUCUACGAUCUAUAGCUGGUUUGAGAGGAUGAUCAGCAACACUGGGACUGAGACACGGCCCAGACUCCUACGGGAGGCAGCAGUGGGGAAUCUUAGACAAUGGGCGCAAGCCUGAUCUAGCCAUGCCGCGUGAGUGAUGAAGGCCUUAGGGUCGUAAAGCUCUUUCGCCUGUGAAGAUAAUGACUGUAGCAGGUAAAGAAACCCCGGCUAACUCCGUGCCAGCAGCCGCGGUAAUACGGAGGGGGUUAGCGUUGUUCGGAAUUACUGGGCGUAAAGCGCGCGUAGGCGGACAUUUAAGUCAGAGGUGAAAUCCCAGGGCUCAACCCUGGAACUGCCUUUGAUACUGGGUGUCUUGAGUUCGAGAGAGGUGAGUGGAAUUCCGAGUGUAGAGGUGAAAUUCGUAGAUAUUCGGAGGAACACCAGUGGCGAAAGGCGGCUCACUGGCUCGAUACUGACGCUGAGGUGCGAAAGUGUGGGGAGCAAACAGGAUUAGAUACCCUGGUAGUCCACACCGUAAACGAUGAAUGCCAGUCGUCG
rnacentral:rRNA from 1 species